GCGAUGUGUCCCAUGGCUACAGCAGGCAGGGGACAGGAGAAGCCCAUAAUGGGCAGCAGCACCCAUCCGAGCACCCACCCAACACUUCUGCCUCUUCUCUGCUUCUAUCUUCGUGGGUUAUGUGUACAAAUGUGUGCCAUAUAUCAUGGAAACAGCAGCAUUAACCCUGUGGAGCAGCACUGCUGUCCCAGGUCGCAGUCCAAACUGUCUUAAGCAAACCAAGAUUCUGGGCCCUCGCAGGUUCAUUUUACACUCACCCAUUCAUUUCUGACCAUCUAGCAAUGAAUUCUUCUGUGCCAAUCAGCUUUAAAGAGUCGAGUCUCCAAGAGCAGACAUGAAGAAAAGAACUGGCAUAUCAUCAUCAUCAUCAAAACAUUAAUGUGCUCUGUGCCACAUCUGAAGUGUGCGGAUGGAAUGCAAACAGAAAUAGAAUAUACAGAAAGUAGCAGGAGAACGUAUUUGCAUAGAUCGUUUCCUUGUUUAUUGUCUUUUGAUAUCUCCCAGCACGAGCUCACAGUACAGCCUCAACUGUAAUCAGCAAACCAGUUGUCACCUCCAUUACGCAGAGAUUAAAAUACAGAAUAGUCGCUGCCCAGAGCAGCAAGGUCAGCCUCACAAAGGCCAGAAGGCACCCACAGUACUUAUGGUGAUCUCUUAUCACUGAAAAUAACCUCAGAUAUGACUGCUGGGGAGGAGCAUGCGAGUUUUGUGUGGUUAGUCACAAAGUGUGCUGUAGACUUUUUGUUGCAAGGAAGAGAGCAGGGCACCAAGGACUAGAAGAACUGAAGAUGGGUGCUGGGCACCAAAACCCCUGAGACACACACUGCUGUCAGACCUACUGCAUGGGCCAGGAGCAAAAGCCAGGGAUGCUAUGGUCCAACCAGAAACAAGAUUUCUUGAUUGCUGAAUGUUUUGCAGAUUAACUUCCCACAGUAAAAUCAUCAAAUCAGAGACAGGCUGGCUUAAAAGUCUUCCUAUGAUGCACUGAUAUUUACUAAUAGUAACAUGUAACUCCAUCC
ensembl:lncRNA